GGUAGGUCCUAUUAUUAGCUCCGUUUUAUAGUUGAGGGAAGGGAGACUCGCAGAGAUUAAAUCUCUCGCUCUAUGUCCUGGUAGGGGUCAACGGCACAGUUGGACUCCGCGUUUCACACACCCCCUCCUCUGGCCUCUCUCUGGUGGUGUGGUAGACGUGUGCAGGCCAGGAGCUAGGGACAGACGCUGACUUCUCUUGUUUCCAUUCAAAUUCAACACACAUUUCCUGGGGCCUGAGCUGGAGCAAAGUUUGUAAACAGGAAUUGAAAAAAAUGCAUUCCAGUGUUAGAGAUAUUGGUUCCAAUUCAGCACAUGUUUCAGGUGUGAGCUCAAUCCUGCACUUCAGUAAAAACUGGUACACGGCACAGCUGGUAUUCUGCUUCCCCAUUUUGAACUGGAUCCACAAAUACCAACUCCAGGAGUGACAGAGAAGGUGGACUCCGGUCGUAGGAUAACACGAGGGGAAUCUGACUCGGAUGCAGGAGAAGCCUCUGUACUACUUCAAUUUCUCUGCAAACCUAAAACUAUUCUAAAAAGAAAAGACUAUUUAAAAAGCAUGGGGAAAAAA